GUGGGGAAUAUUGGGCAAUGGGCGAAAGCCUGACCCAGCGACGCCGCGUGAGGGAAGAAGAUCUUCGGAUUGUAAACCUUAGUCAACAGGGAAGAAGAAAGUGACGGUACCUGUGGAGGAAGCCACGGCUAACUACGUGCCAGCAGCCGCGGUAAUACGUAGGUGGCGAGCGUUAUCCGGAAUUACUGGGUGUAAAGGGUGUGUAGGCGGGACUGCAAGUCUGAUGUGAAAACUAUGGGCUCAACCCAUAGCCUGCAUUGGAAACUGUGGUUCUUGAGAGUGGGAGAGGUAAACGGAAUUCCCGGUGUAGCGGUGAAAUGCGUAGAUAUCGGGAGGAACAUCGGUGGCGAAGGCGGUUUACUGGACCACAACUGACGCUGAGACACGAAAGCGUGGGGAGCAAACAGGAUUAGAUACCCUAGUAGUCC
rnacentral:rRNA from 1 species